CUAUGCAUCAGAUUUCAUUUCAAGUGAUGAGUAAAAUAUCCAGAAAGAUAUAUAAUCUGUUCUUUUUGCCCUCUAGCUUAGCACACUGAAUUCUUUGAGCCAUCUGGUGUCAAUCCGUGUGGGAAAAUGAUCAAUGAAAACAAUUUAAGGAAUGCAUCUUAUAGAUGUUUCAUAUUGUAGGUCUAUUCAGCCUAUUUUGUCAUGGUGGUGUUAUCAUUUUUCAAACUUUAUUUUUGUGUAAUAAUUAGGCAUAUUGAUACAUAAUCAUGUUCAUGUUUUGUGCUGUCUUGCUUUGCAGAUGACAGAAUAUUGCUGAAGGAUCCUACAUGGAAGCUGGCUGAUUACACGGAGUGAUUCCUCUGGUGUGGUGUACCUCAGAGAAAUAAACACUGUUGCAAGAGGUGAGUUUAAGUUUAUAAAGUCACACAAAACCUAUCCAUGUGUUUUUAAAAAGUCAAAGUUCUAACUUGCUCUGUAUUUCAUGCUGUCAAUAUGAGAUGCAUACUAAUGUUGUGUGUUAUUAUUGCAGCUGAGAAGAUGGCCAAGAUAUCCUUAUUGCUGGAUGGUAGCUCUGGUCGUAGUGGACCAUAUCUGCAAAUGCUUCUGAACAUUGACAGAAUUUCUAAAGAUGACUGAGAAUAUUACUGAAGGAUCCUACAUGGAAGCUGUCUGAUUACACUGAGUGAUUCCUCUGGUGUGGUGUACCUCAGAGAAAAUAAACACUGUUGCAAGAGCUGAGAAGAUAUCCUUAUUGCUGGAUGGUUGCUCUCUGGUCGUACUUGAGCCCCCUGGACCAUGUCUGCAAAUGCUUCUGAACAUUGACAGAAUUUCUAAAGGAUCGCUGAGGACUCCCCCUCCAUGCGUGACCUCUUUGAGAAAUUUCCACGCUUUCUGGAGAUGCCAAGUUUGACUGGAACCAACUUUGCAUCCCUCGGCACUAACACUGAGAAGGUUUCAAGGACCCCACUACUAGGAGGCGAGAGUUUGACACGGCAGUGUCAUCACUGCCAUGGAUGACAACGUAACCAUUCCUGUUGCUGAUUGCCUGACUUGCGCAGUGACAAGCUUUUCAUGCUCUACCGGGUGUGUAACUUGGCAUAUCCACCACAGUUUAACUCUGUUUCUGCCUCUUUUGAAUAUGUGUACGAUAUAACCAUCUCAACCAACAAGUGGGCCAAGGUACUGGAACAUUUCUCACUUCAAGUUGCUCUGUAGUCACUGGACAUUUUUUUAAACAUCUACGCAGACACCACCACUCCACAUCAUGUGUAUUUUAAUUAGGCCUACUUCUGAUUCCACUGACAUGCAGGCUACAUCCUAUGCAAAUUCAGGUAAUUUACCUGGUACUGGAGAAACAGCAUUGUAUGCCAUUCUAAGUGAUACUUGCCUCCUUGUUUUGCAAAAAUGUACUGUUUUUUGAAUAUAAUUUAAAGUAAGAUCAUGUUGACUCUGAGGUGUUCUCCGGUUGUCAAGCACAACCUUAACAUUUUGUAAGUAAGUAAUAGUCACAGGAUAUGCAUGCAUUUGUAAUUUGAAUUUUCGUUGAAAACGGCUCACCAAGCAUAAAAUGUUACCUCUGCUUUUGAUUUUUCUUUUUUUUUAAAUGUCCCUUAAUACCAGCCUGUCUUUUUGUUGUGUCCACACAACUUUACCAUCAGCAGUGUUGGGAAGGAACAGAUUGCUGUAAGUUACUGUAUCCCCAUCCUUUCAGAUCAGUGCUUUAAAGCCUUUUGAAAUUAAAUUGUUAAUAAACUUUUUGAAAACAAACUCAAA